UACGGAGGAUCCGAGCGUUAUCCGGAGUGACUGGGCGUAAAGAGUUGCGUAGGUGGACAAGUUAGCGAAUAGUGAAACCCGGUGGCUCAACCACACGGACUAUUAUUCGAACUGCUUGUCUUGAGAAUGGUAGAGGUAACUGGAAUUUCUAGUGUAGGAGUGAAAUCCGUAGAUAUUAGAAGGAACACCAAUGGCGUAGGCAGGUUACUGGACCAUUUCUGACACUAAGGCACGAAAGCGUGGGGAGCGAACCGG
rnacentral:rRNA from 2 species